rnacentral:rRNA from 1 species
CAAGACAACUUUACGGAGUUGACGAUUGACGGAGCGAAGCGACGUCAAAGCGUUCAUUAAAGUCGAGUUGGCUUAGGGAUACGUUCGUUGGGUAGGGGAGCGUUCUGUAAGCCUGUGAAGGUGUGUCGUGAGGCAUGCUGGAGGUAUCAGAAGUGCGAAUGCUGACAUAAGUAACGAUAAAGCGGGUGAAAAGCCCGCUCGCCGGAAGACCAAGGGUUCCUGUCCAACGUUAAUCGGGGCAGGGUGAGUCGACCCCUAAGGCGAGGCCGAAAGGCGUAGUCGAUGGGAAACGGGUUAAUAUUCCCGUACUUGGUGUUACUGCGAAGGGGGGACGGAGAAGGCUAUGUUGGCCGGGCGACGGUUGUCCCGGUUUAAGCGUGUAGGUGUGUGUUCCAGGUAAAUCCGGUUCACUUUAACACUGAGGCGUGACGACGAGGCACUACGGUGCUGAAGCAACAAAUGCCCUGCUUCCAGGAAAAGCCUCUAAGCAUCAGGUAACAUCAAAUCGUACCCCAAACCGACACAGGUGGUCAGGUAGAGAAUACCAAGGCGCUUGAGAGAACUCGGGUGAAGGAACUAGGCAAAAUGGUGCCGUAACUUCGGGAGAAGGCACGCUGACACGUAGGUGAAGUGAUUUACUCAUGGAGCUGAAGUCAGUCGAAGAUACCAGCUGGCUGCAACUGUUUAUUAAAAACACAGCACUGUGCAAACACGAAAGUGGACGUAUACGGUGUGACGCCUGCCCGGUGCCGGAAGGUUAAUUGAUGGGGUCAGCGCAAGCGAAGCUCCUGAUCGAAGCCCCGGUAAACGGCGGCCGUAACUAUAACGGUCCUAAGGUAGCGAAAUUCCUUGUCGGGUAAGUUCCGACCUGCACGAAUGGCGUAAUGAUGGCCAGGCUGUCUCCACCCGAGACUCAGUGAAAUUGAACUCGCUGUGAAGAUGCAGUGUACCCGCGGCAAGACGGAAAGACCCCGUGAACCUUUACUAUAGCUUGACACUGAACAUUGAGCCUUGAUGUGUAGGAUAGGUGGGAGGCUUUGAAGUGUGGACGCCAGUCUGCAUGGAGCCGACCUUGAAAUACCACCCUUUAAUGUUUGAUGUUCUAACGUGGACCCGU